GCGCUGGCAUUUUUAAUUCGUUGCAGGUCCCUUUUUUUCCUCGUGGUCUUAUUCUUCGUGCUCACUCGUUGCUGCGCGCACGCCGCAGCCAUUUCGCCUUCGCCGGCCGCCGCCGUCCCUUCGCCUUCGCCGGCCGCCGCCGCCCCAGGUCGCCGGCCGCAGCCGUCCCUUCGCCUCUGUCGGACGCCGGCCGCACCCGCCCCCUCGCCUCCGUCGGCCGCCACCGCCCCUUUCGCCUUCGCCGGCCGUCCCCGCCCCAGGUCGCCGGCCGCCGCCGCCCCCUCUGUCUUGGUCCUCCCGAACUCGCAGGAUCCGGUGGGCGGCCCGGCGAGAUCUCGACGAGCCAGCGGAGAGGAGGGUGGCGGCUGGGCGCUCAUCUCCCUCCGGCGGCUUCCUUCGUUCGCCGGCCCUUGGGAACGUCAUUCGCCCUCGGCCCCCCUCGCUGCCAUGCCGACGGUCACACGGGAGGAGGACGCGGCUGCUCGCGUGGAGGCGGAUCGUGGUGGCGCGGUGUCCGCCGUGAUUCUCACGGAUGCGCGCAGGCGCAGUACAACAAGAUGCUCUAAGACUGCUAGGAGAGACUGCUAGGAGAUAAAGCAACACGCGAGGAAUUGAGAAUUUCUUGGUCUAGAGGAAAGUGGUUUUGUCUGCUAUUGCUAUAAAUUGUUACCAUUAUUUUCAGGCAAAAUAAUGUAUACUAUUAUUGCCGCCUUCUUUUCUUUUCAUAUGCAAGCUAUUAAUAUUUCAGUGAUAUAUACCUUACAUUGUGACAAAAAGUUUGAUGCUACAGAACCUGUCGGCAUGGAGCGCCUGGAACUUUGUAGGGAUGAAGAGCAAGCGCGUCUCUGUUGGUUAAAUCUGCUUAAGGGAAAGAUAUCAAGAUGUGCUAUGGCGUCCUUUGAUUCCAGUUCUUUUUUAUAGAAAAAGUACACAAAUGCAGAUAGAGUUGUACCCCACGGGCAUGGAGCAGUAAGGGAAGAACAGGCAAGCUAAUUUCGUGAGGGUUCAUAUUGGUUCAUGAAACCAUAUAUUAUGAGUUUGAUUGUGCAUGUAUGUUAUUUCAUGGGGGUUCAAAAAAAAAAUUCAGCUCCGCUAUUGUGUUCUCACAAGAAAGAAGAGUUACAUUAUUGUUGUACAAGUCAUUAGCUUCUGUAUGCAAAAUCACUUGCGGUGGCUAUUUUAUUUCUAGGUAAUUCGUUAGAUCUUCCCAGUGAUACAGGUGUGCAAUGCAACUACAUCAGAUUUUAGUUCAUAAUUUUUAUACUCCCUUCAUCCCGAAUUAACUGAAUUGGAUUUGUAUAAGAACCUAUACAAAUCCGUGUCAGUUAAUUUGGGACGGAGUGAGUAGUAGAAAACAUUCAAGGUAUUAGUGUGGAGCAUGGUAUUUUGAAAAGUGUUAAUUUGGGACGGAGGGAGUAGUAGAAAACAUUCAGGUAUUAGUGUCGAGCAGGGUAUUUUGAAAAGUGUCAGGACUAGGUUUGUAAGUCCAUAUAUUUUUACAGUGUUAUCGAAGUGGUUGUAUUUGGUCUAAUAGAGUUCGUUUUCCCUUC